rnacentral:rRNA from 1 species
AUUGAACGCUGGCGGCGUGCCUAAUACAUGCAAGUCGAACGCAGUGGGGACGGGUGAGUAACACGUGGGUAACCUCCCAUCAGAGGGGAUAACACUUGGAAACAGGUGCUAAACCGAUACUGAUGGAUGAACCCGCGGUGCAUUAGCUAGUUGGUGAGGUAACGGCUCACCAAGGCCACGAGGCAUAGCCUACCUUACAGGUUGAUCGGCCACCCGUGGACUGAGCACGGGCCCAGACUCCUACGUGAGGCAGCAUGAGGGAAUCUUCUGCAAUGGACGAAAGUCUGACCGAGCAACGCCGCGUGAGUGAAGAAGGUUUUCGGAUCGUAAAACUCUGUUGUUUGAGAAGCGGUAUCUAACCAGAAAGCCACGGCUAACUACGUGCCAGCAGCCGCGGUAAUAC